GGGGCCGUAGUUCAAUGGAUAGAACGCCAGCUUCCGAAGCUGGAAGUUGCAGGUUCGAGUCCUGCCGGCCUCACCA
rnacentral:tRNA from 1 species